AGGUUUCCGUAGGUGAACCUGCGGAAGGAUCAUUACUGAAGAAAUGGUAGUGGUUGAGCUGACUCUUAAGGAGUAUGUGCUCGCUCUAUCGCUUUUUCUAUUCUCCACUGUGCACCUAUUGUAGGCUACGAUACACUCUCAAAGGAUCCUUUUUAAGGGAUAAUUUGGAUGGAAGGGCCCUAUGCAAUUCAUUUGCUGGCUUUCAAUUUCGUAGCCUAUGUCUAUACAAACUCGAAUAAUCUUAUCUGAAUGUGGUAAUUGUUGGUCCUAUGACCGAUAAAUCAUAUACAACUUUCAGCAACGGAUCUCUUGGCUCUCGCAUCGAUGAAGAACGCAGCGAAAUGCGAUAAGUAAUGUGAAUUGCAGAAUUCAGUGAAUCAUCGAAUCUUUGAACGCACCUUGCACUCCUUGGUAUUCCGAGGAGUAUGCCUGUUUGAGUGUCAUUAAAUUCUCAAAAGACUUUUUUAAGCUUGUUUGCUUUUUAGGUUCUUUGGAUGUGAGGGUUUCCUGCUGGCUUGAGAACUCGAGUCCGGCUCCCUUUAAAUGCAUUAGUGGUUGCUUCAUUCACUAGAGUGUGAUAGUAUAUCUACGCUCGCUACAGUGAACUGAUAAAUCAUCUGCUUCCAACUGUCUUGCCUUCAAGACUAUCUUUUUGACUAUUUGACCUCAAAUCAGGUAGGACUACCCGCUGAACUUAAGCAUAUCAAUAAGCGGAGGAAAAGAAACUAACAAGGAUUCCCCU
rnacentral:rRNA from 1 species